rnacentral:rRNA from 1 species
GCACAAGCGGUGGAUGAUGUGGUUAAUUCGAUGCAACGCGAAAACCUUACCCACCUUUGACAUGUACGGAACUCGCCAGAGGUGGCUUGGUGCUCGAAAGAGAGCCGUAACACAGGUGCUGCAUGGCUGUCGUCAGCUCGUGUCGUGAGAUGUUGGGUUAAGUCCCGCAACGAGCGCAACCCUUGUCAUUAGUUGCUACAUUCAGUUGGGCACUCUAAAGAGACUGCCGGUGUCAAACCGGAGGAAGGUGGGGAUGACGUCAAGUCCUCAUGGCCUUUAUGACCAGGGCUACACACGUACUACAAUGGCCGGUACAAAGGGCAGCCACUUAGCGAUAAGGAGCCAAUCCCGUAAAGCCGGUCUCAGUCCGGAUUGGAGUCUGCAACUCGACUCCAUGAAGUUGGAAUCGCUAGUAAUCGCGUAUCAGCAUGACGCGGUGAAUACGUUCCCGGGCCUU